rnacentral:rRNA from 1 species
CGGCAACAGCUCAAAUUUGAAAGCUGGCCCUUUUAGGGUCCGCAUUGUAAUUUGUAGAGGAUGAUUCGGCGAGGGCUCCUGCCUAAGUCCCCUGGAACGGGGCGUCAUAGAGGGUGAGAAUCCCGUAUGCGGUAGGUUGCCUUAGCCAUGUGAAUCUCCUUCGACGAGUCGAGUUGUUUGGGAAUGCAGCUCUAAAUGGGAGGUAAAUUUCUUCUAAAGCUAAAUACCGGCCAGAGACCGAUAGCGCACAAGUAGAGUGAUCGAAAGAUGAAAAGCACUUUGGAAAGAGAGUUAAAAAGUACGUGAAAUUGUUGAAAGGGAAGCGCUUGCAACCAGACUUGUCCGCAGUUGCUCAGCCGGUCUCCUGACCGGCGUACUCUUCUGCGGCCAGGCCAGCAUCAGUUCGGGCGGUCGGAUAAAGGCCUCGGGAAUGUGGCUCCUCUCGGGGAGUGUUAUAGCCCGGGGUGCAAUGCGGCCAGCCUGGACUGAGGAACUCGCUUCGGCAAGGAUGCUGGCGUAAUGGUUGUAAGCGGCCCGUCUUGAACACGCC